UGAAUUUUUUUCAUGCAGCCUUUUGGCAAGCAUCUCCAUCUCAUAAAGGAUCUUGGAUUUGGUAAAGCCUUUCGGCUGGUAGGGAUGUUAUUAAAGAGGGAGUCACGAGCAACAUCCGAGAUGGCAAGAACAAAUUUAGUUUGAUCCUUGGAUUCCUUCUAUCCAAAAUUUCAGAGUGUCGAGACCGCCCAAUGCCCUCUUCAUGUAAAUUGGGUUGCUGAUCUUAUAGAGCAUGGCAACCUUUAGUAGAAGUCGAGUUUAAUGCAUAGGCUUUUCUAUACAAAUGAAGCAUUGGCAAUUUUGUCAAUCCCAAUAACUCCUCUCGGCAUAGCUAACUCUAUUGUAUGUGUAUGGCAUUAUGAGAAAUAUGGUAAAUUUUCAGUUCGGUCAGCUUAUUAACUUUUAGCAAAAAAUUUUCAACAGCAUAUAGUGCCUUUAGACAGCAUAAACUUGCAUUAAAUUCAGUCCCAAGUUUGGACUAAGUUUUGGAGGCUCACUGUGCAACCAAAGAUUAAGUUGCUCCUUUGGAAGACCCUUCCAACUGCUAUCCCUGGGAAAAGCAGCCUGAUAAGGAGAGGUAUUCUUUAAAUCCUAUAUGCUCCAUUUGUAAUAGAGAGGAGGAAAUAGUUGAGCAUGCAAUCUUCUGGUGCAAUCAUGCGAGAGCAAGUUGGCUUGCUAGCCUCACAGCAUACAAGCCUAAUCCAGUAGGUUUCUCUUCUUUUUCCCAAUGGUAGUCCACUAUUAUGUAGGAACCAGACUUUGAAGCAGGUUAUCUAAAUCUUAUAACCAUUACCUGUUGGCAAAUCUGGAAAGAAAGAAAUAGGGCAGUCUUUGAUCACUUUGAUCCAGACCCAAAGGCAGUUGCUCAUCGUAUUUAUGGAAGAAUAGAUGAGCUUCAGCGGGCUCUGAUAUCUAAGCCAGUCCGUAGAAUUGUUAACCCGACAGUUUCUGCUCCUUCUAUCUGGUCUCCUCCCAGUAAAGGAAUUGUUAAAUUCAUUUGUGACACGACAUGGAGGCGGGGAAAUGAGGUUGCAGCUCUUGUAGUCAUCACUAGAAAUUACGAAGGAAACCUUAUCGAUGGGAAACCAAGGAAAGUUUACUGUUCCUCCCUACUGGUAGGAGAAGCAAAAGGAAUGAUAGAAGCUCUUAAGUUGGCUGUGGAUAUAGGGGUCCAAUCUAUGAUUAUAGAGACUGAUUCCAUCAAUUCUAAUUUCAGCAAUCAGGGAUGGUCACCAUAUUUGACUACUGGGAGAUCCCAGCUGCUGUACAAAUAAAAAAAAAAAUCUUCAAGCUGCAAUUUUUUAUUUCACAUUCAAUAGGUGUAGCUGCAACCUUGCAAUUGACAACAUUACAUCUUUUGAGCAGGUCUGUUCCAUAUUGCCUUUGUGAAAUAAACACUCCCUCUUUAUUUUUUUAGUAAGACUUGGUUUUGAAGAUAAAUUUGGAAGGCAUACACAAUAUAGAUAAAAUUCGUAUACAGAGAAGGAUGUUGAAGAGGAAAUUGUUUGAAGAAAAUGACCUGAUAUCUACCAAGUCACUCCCUGUUAAAGAGCAUCAAGUCAUUCUCGAAGAUAUUUUUUGAGACAAUGAAAUCUUCAAUUUGGUCCUUCAGAAUUAUGACAACUCCUUCUGGGGCUGUAAGAAAUUUG
rnacentral:misc_RNA from 1 species